UGGGGCGUAGCCAAGUGGUAAGGCAACGGGUUUUGAUCCCGCUAUUCGGAGGUUCGAAUCCUUCCGUCCCAG
rnacentral:tRNA from 67 species